rnacentral:lncRNA from 1 species
CCCUAACUUCUGUAACCUUGAUGUGGCAUACUAAACACUUCCGCUUCCCCUAAAAUGCGUCGUAUUUUCCUAAUUUUUCCCUGACUUUUGUAAAUUCUCCAAUAUUUACUCUUUUUUAAGUAUUAUACUAAACUUUUCCCUGUACAUAUUUCAUUCUAUUUCACUUUAGUAAUUCAUCUUAAGAAAACCCAUAUAAAUACAUGUCAUUCUAAUUCCAUUUUUAAUAACUCAUCUGAGCAAGAUAGAUACAUAUAACCCAUCUAAGCAUGAAAACAUCCAUCUAGUAAUAUUUCAUUCUAUUCCAUAUCAAUAACACAUCUAAGCACAAAAAGAGGAAAAGAAAUAUAAGAAUGUUUCAUUCUAUUUCACUUGAAAAGCCUAUCUAAGCAAGAAAAGAAUCCAUAUAAAUACAAACAUAUUUUAUUUCAUUAUGUCAAGAUAC